GCUGCUCGCUUUGGCAGCACAUAUUACUAAAAUUGGAAUGAUACAGAGAAGAUUAGCAUGGCCCUUGCGCAAGGAUGAUAAAACAUAAAUGUAUGUGGUUUAACGUCAU